GAUGAACGCUGGCGGCGUGCCUAAUACAUGCAAGUCGAGCGAACAGACGAGGAGCUUGCUCCUCUGACGUUAGCGGCGGACGGGUGAGUAACACGUGGAUAACCUACCUAUAAGACUGGGAUAACUUCGGGAAACCGGAGCUAAUACCGGAUAAUAUAUUAAACCGCAUGGUCCAAUAGUGAAAGACGGUUUUGCUGUCACUUAUAGAUGGAUCCGCGCCGCAUUAGCUAGUUGGUAAGGUAACGGCUUACCAAGGCAACGAUGCGUAGCCGACCUGAGAGGGUGAUCGGCCACACUGGAACUGAGACACGGUCCAGACUCCUACGGGAGGCAGCAGUAGGGAAUCUUCCGCAAUGGGCGAAAGCCUGACGGAGCAACGCCGCGUGAGUGAUGAAGGUCUUCGGAUCGUAAAACUCUGUUAUUAGGGAAGAACAAAUGUGUAAGUAACUAUGCACGUCUUGACGGUACCUAAUCAGAAAGCCACGGCUAACUACGUG
rnacentral:rRNA from 1 species